UACGUAGGUCCCGAGCGUUGUCCGGAUUUAUUGGGCGUAAAGCGAGCACAGGUGGUUUAUUAAGUCUGGUGUAAAAGGCAGUGGCUCAACCAUUGUAUGCAUCGGAAACUGGUAGACUUGAGUGCAGGAGAGGAGAGUGGAAUUCCAUGUGUAGCGGUGAAAUGCGUAGAUAUAUGGAGGAACACCGGUGGCGAAAGCGGCUCUCUGGCCUGUAACUGACACUGAGGCUCGAAAGCGUGGGGAGCAAACAGG
rnacentral:rRNA from 1 species